rnacentral:rRNA from 1 species
GAUGAACGCUAGCGGCAGGCCUAACGCAUGCAAGUCGAGGGGGAAGUUACUUUCGGGUGACUGAGACCGGCGUACGGGUGCGUAACGCGUAUACAAUCUGCCUUUCACUGGGGGGUAGCCCGAAGAAAUUUGGAUUAAUACCCCAUAGUAUAUAGGGACGGCAUCGUUUUUAUAUUAAAGCUUAGGUGGUGAAAGAUGAGUAUGCGUUCUAUUAGCUAGUUGGAGAGGUAACGGCUCCCCAAGGCGAUGAUAGAUAGGGGUUCUGAGAGGGAUGUCCCCCACACUGGUACUGAGAUACGGACCAGACUCCUACGGGAGGCAGCAGUGAGGAAUAUUGGACAAUGGUCGGAAGACUGAUCCAGCCAUGCCGCGUGCAGGAUGAAGGUCUUAUGGAUUGUAAACUGCUUUUGUAAGGGAAGAAUAAGGGCUACGCGUAGUUUGAUGACGGUACCUUACGAAUAAGCAUCGGCUAACUCCGUG